UGAAUCCACGCUCCUUUCCCCAAACCAGAGCAAAGCAAGGAAGCACCACCCGCUUAAUUCCCUUCCCCUCGCUCGCUCCCACACGUCGCGCCUCCCCUCUUCCUCCCUCGCUCGGAUCCACCACCGCUCCUACCUAAAAAACUCGCCACCUUCCAUGAAAUCGGCCACCCCCAAGGACAGAAUACCGCCACUUCCAUGAAAGUAUCGCACCGGAGUCGGACCCACGUACCCACGACGCGUCAACGACGGCCCCCCACGCGCUUCCUUCCCGGAAAAUGCCGGUGCGAGGAGCCGCGUGCUAAUAUAUAGGCACGGCGGAGCUGGUGGUGGUGGUGGGAGAUCGGAGAGGGCUUCCUUGGUUGGUUUGACAGGGAGAGCAAGCAGGGACGCCCGCCAUGGAGAGCUACCUCAACGAGAACUUCGGGGGCGUCAAGCCCAAGCACUCGUCCCACGAGGCGCUGGGCCGAUGGCGCAAGGUCGUCGGCGUCGUCAAGAACCCCAAGCGCCGCUUCCGCUUCACCGCCAACCUCGGCAAGCGCUCCGAGGCCGCCGCCAUGAAGCGGACCAACCAGGAGAAGCUGCGUGUUGCUGUGCUUGUUUCAAAGGCUGCGCUUCAGUUCAUCCAUGGCCUCGCUCCCCAGAGCGAGUACACAGUCCCUGCUGCUGUCAAGGCAGCAGGCUAUGGCAUCUGUGCUGAGGAACUGAGCUCUGUUGUCGAGAGCCACGACAUCAAGAAGUUGAAAGCACAUGGCGGCACUGAGGGCCUCUUAUCAAAGGUGUCUACCUCAGAGUCGGAUGGCGUCAGCACAUCCAAGGACAAGCUUGCAUCCCGGCAGGAGAUCUUUGGCAUCAACAAAUUCGCCGAGACGGAGGCCCGCAGCUUCUGGGUCUUUGUCUGGGAGGCGCUCCAGGACAUGACACUCAUGAUCCUUGCUGCAUGUGCCUUCUUCUCGCUUGUCGUCGGCAUUGCCACCGAGGGGUGGCCCAAGGGCGCGCAUGAUGGCCUCGGCAUCGUGGCUAGUAUUCUUCUGGUUGUGUUUGUCACUGCGACAAGCGACUACCGGCAAUCCCUGCAGUUCAAGGACCUUGACAAGGAGAAGAAGAAGAUCACGGUGCAGGUCACCCGGAGUGGGUACCGGCAGAAGCUCUCGAUAUAUGAGCUUCUCGUUGGUGACAUUGUGCACCUUUCCAUUGGUGAUCAAGUACCAGCUGACGGUUUGUUCGUAUCAGGAUUCUCAUUGCUGAUUAAUGAAUCAAGCCUGACUGGGGAGAGUGAACCAGUUGCUGUCAAUGCCGAGAACCCAUUCCUUUUGUCAGGAACUAAAGUGCAGGAUGGUUCUUGCAAGAUGCUUGUGACAACAGUCGGCAUGAGGACUCAAUGGGGUAAACUCAUGGCCACCCUCAGUGAAGGAGGGGAUGAUGAGACGCCAUUGCAGGUCAAGCUGAACGGCGUUGCAACCAUCAUUGGCAAAAUAGGCCUCGUCUUUGCUGUUGUCACAUUUGCAGUGCUCACUGAAAGCCUGUUCCGACGCAAGAUCAUGGAUGGGUCGUACUUGAGUUGGAGUGGAGAUGAUGCACUGGAGCUGCUUGAGUUCUUUGCUAUUGCUGUUACCAUUGUUGUCGUAGCAGUUCCUGAAGGCUUACCGCUCGCCGUGACCUUGAGCCUUGCUUUUGCCAUGAAGAAGAUGAUGAAUGACAAGGCACUUGUCCGACACCUGGCAGCCUGUGAGACCAUGGGCUCAGCAACCUCCAUUUGCAGCGACAAGACUGGCACACUCACAACGAAUCACAUGACUGUCGUCAAGGCUUGCAUCUGUGGCAAAAUUAAAGAAGUGGAUAAAUCUUCAAACACCAAGAGCUUAUUCUCUGAGCUACCGGAUUCUGUCAUGACAAUGCUCUCGCAGUCCAUAUUUAACAACACUGGUGGCGAUGUUGUCAUCAACCAGGAUGGCAAACGCGAAAUACUGGGCACACCAACAGAGACAGCAAUUCUAGAGCUUGGCCUGUCACUCGGUGGAGAUUUCCAGGCAGUGCGAAAAGCAACCACCCUCCUCAAAGUCGAGCCAUUUAACUCAGCGAAGAAGAGAAUGGGAGUGGUCAUCCAGCUGCCAGGGGGCGCAUUCCGUGCUCACUGCAAAGGUGCAUCAGAGAUCAUAUUGGCAUCUUGCAGCAAGUACCUGAAUGAUCAAGGCAAUGCCGUCCCCCUUGACAGUGCAACUAUUGCUCACUUGAAUGCCACGAUCGAGAGCUUUGCAAAUGAGGCACUUCGCACUCUGUGCCUUGCUUACAUUGAAGUUGCACAAGGGUUCUCAGCUAAUGAUGCGAUUCCUGAAGAGGGGUACACAUGCAUUGGCAUUGUUGGGAUUAAAGACCCAGUGCGCCCGGGUGUGAAGGAAUCCGUCGCCAUCUGCAGGUCAGCCGGUAUUACUGUCAGGAUGGUCACAGGCGACAACAUUAACACAGCAAAGGCAAUUGCCCGGGAAUGUGGCAUUCUGACUGAAGGUGGUCUUGCCAUUGAAGGCCCAGAUUUUAGAACUAAGAGUGCAGAAGAAAUGUUCAAAUUGAUACCAAAGAUACAGGUAAUGGCUAGGUCUUCACCACUUGACAAGCACACCUUAGUGAAGAAUCUCCGGACCACACAUGAAGAAGUUGUUGCGGUGACUGGUGACGGGACAAAUGAUGCACCUGCACUUCAUGAGGCUGAUAUUGGACUUGCGAUGGGCAUUGCUGGAACUGAGGUUGCGAAAGAGAGUGCCGAUGUCAUCAUUCUUGAUGACAACUUCUCCACCAUAGUCACAGUUGCCAAAUGGGGUCGAUCUGUGUACAUCAACAUUCAGAAGUUUGUGCAGUUUCAACUGACAGUCAACGUGGUUGCCCUCGUUGUGAACUUCUCGUCAGCCUGCUUGACAGGGAGUGCUCCCCUCACUGCUGUUCAGUUGCUGUGGGUCAAUAUGAUCAUGGACACACUCGGAGCAUUGGCAUUGGCCACAGAACCUCCAAACGAUGAACUGAUGAAGAGGACUCCCGUUGGAAGGAAAGGAAACUUCAUUAGCAACAUUAUGUGGAGGAACAUCAUGGGACAGGCAAUCUACCAGUUCUUUGUAAUUUGGUAUCUGCAGACCGAAGGAAAGACGUUGUUUGAACUUAAGGGUGAUAAUUCCGAUCUAGUCCUGAACACGCUCAUCUUCAAUUGCUUUGUGUUCUGCCAGGUGUUCAACGAGGUGAGCUCCAGAGAGAUGGAGAGGAUAAAUGUAUUCAAAGGCAUUCUAGACAACAACGUGUUUGUCGCGGUGCUCAGCAGCACGGUCGUAUUCCAGAUCAUCAUAGUACAGUUCCUUGGCGACUUUGCGAACACCACCCCUCUGUCGCUCAGGGAGUGGUUCUCCUGCAUUGUCAUCGGCUUCAUAGGCAUGCCCAUCGCCGCGAUAGUCAAGCUCUUCCCGGUGGGUUCUCAGUAGGAGACGCCAGCUAAUUUGCAGUCAGGAACUGAAGUGAGGUGGUAGGACUACAGGCUGACGGCGAUGCCAACGCAGUUUGGGCGCUGUGUUGCCACUUUGACCAGGGAUCUGUUGCAAUCCAAAUGCCACCGUCGUAAGCAUUGAGCAGAACAGAACAGUGUGGGUGCUUGUGCAGCAGCAUAGGGGGAUUGGCGGUUAGCUUCUUUUGGCGCCCAGCCUUAUCUCCGCAUCACAGGCGAUUGACACAGAGGCAGCUUGCUUCCAUCACUGCUGUCGCCCGGCGCCCGUAUCAAAUGUUUUUGACCAGUCAAGGCAAGCAUCGUGUGUACCACAACAACUCCUACUGCCGCACAAGCACAAGCACAAGGCGGCAGGAAGCAGCGGCCACUUGGGAUAGAUAAAAUUCCAACAGCGUCAGCCAAUAGCUGCCGACCUGUUUUUUUUUUUUGUGUGUGUGUGUUUUACCGGCUGCCAGCCAGGCACAAGACAGCCGAGCAAAGGCAGUAAGGGCAACUCCAGCGCACGACCUCAAACGGACGUCCGUUUGACUCGGAUUCUAUUCGUUUGGGGUGGGCAAUGAGGUCGUGUCUGAACCA